rnacentral:rRNA from 1 species
GACGAACGCUGGCGGCGUGCCUAACACAUGCAAGUCGAGCGAGGAGAGUUCCUUCGGGAACAAACCUAGCGGCGGACGGGUGAGUAACACGUGGGCAACCUGCCUUGUAGAGGGGAAUAGCCUUCCGAAAAGGAAGAUUAAUACCGCAUAACAUUACAGUUUCGCAUGAAACAGUAAUUAAAGGAGUAAUCCGCUACAAGAUGGGCCCGCGGCGCAUUAGCUAGUUGGUGAGGUAACGGCUCACCAAGGCAACGAUGCGUAGCCGACCUGAGAGGGUGAUCGGCCACAUUGGGACUGAGACACGGCCCAGACUCCUACGGGAGGCAGCAGUGGGGAAUAUUGCACAAUGGGGGAAACCCUGGUGCAGCAACGCCGCGUGAGUGAUGAAGGUUUUCGGAUCGUAAAGCUCUGUCUUCGGGGACGAUAAUGACGGUACCCGAGGAGGAAGCCACGGCUAACUACGUG